UUGACCUGGCCGUGUUUUCAGCUUCACUCCUCCCACCUGGUGCAACAGUCUGUUGCCUGUCACAUUCCACACAUACAGGUGAGGAUCGGUGAACUGUGGGGAGGAAGCCACCAGCUCUGGCUGUGAAAAACAAGCACAUUCAGGUCAAGCACACCCAGGUGGACAGGCUGUCAGCAUGCAUCAUCUGAGAGGGAGAAGGGCCUGCUCUUAUUUUGCCUCUCACUGACAAUAGAGAAGAUACAGGAUGAGUAUGUCCUUAACCUAGUAUAAUGACCUGUGUGUUCCAGCUGUUCUGGUGAUGUCAUGGAAAAGGCCUGAUGGAUGAUCUUCUUUUCUAGCCCUUGAAAUUUCCUAGGGAGACCAGAAGACUUAAGGAAGGAACCACACCCAGGAGGGCUUAGCUUGGAAAAUAAGCUGCUUUACAGAAAACCCUGAGAGGCUGUUUUCCAGUUAAUUUGUCCUAGAAACUCAGUCUAAUUAUGAAACCAUAUCACUGCUCACUUGCCAUCUGUCAACCAGUUAUCUAGAACAUUAAACUGAGAGAACAUUGAUCAGGAUAAAUUCACCAUUUUGCAAUUUACAAAGUAUAAUUCAGACAAGAUUCAUGAAUCAGUAUUAAGACCAUUGGAUGAAAUGCUAUUGGGGAGUAGGAUAUUUAUAUGGUCUCAAAGUAUCACCAUCAGAUUACUUUUUAAUUACAAAUGGAAGAUACCUUUCAAUGAAGAGAUCUGGCAAAUGCCACCUUAACCAAGAAAUCUGGUGACGACUACUUCAACUAACGUCUUUAGUAAUGAAACAAGCUGACGUCAUGUACUUUCUGAUGUGAUACGCAUCGUCUAUGUACUAUUAUGUCCAGAAAUGGUUAACUGAAUCUAAUAAAGAAACAAUCAGAAAUCCAUGAGACAUUCUAUAAGCAACUGGCCUGGACUCUUCAAAAAAGUCAAUACUGUGAGGUUGGGGUCAUUGCUCUGAAUUAAAAGAGGCUAAAGAUACAUGAAAGCCAAUGUGU